rnacentral:rRNA from 1 species
GACGAACCGUGCGAACGUUGUUCGGAAUCACUGGGCUUAAAGGGCGCGUAGGCGGCUUGCCAAGUCAGGGGUGAAAUCCUGCAGCUUAACUGUAGAAGGGCCUUUGAUACUGGCGAGCUCGAGGGAGGUAGGGGUAUGUGGAACUUCCGGUGGAGCGGUGAAAUGCGUUGAUAUCGGAAGGAACGCCGGUGGCGAAAGCGACGUACUGGACCUCUUCUGACGCUGAGGCACGAAGGCCAGGGGAGCAAACGGG